rnacentral:lncRNA from 1 species
UGGAACUGAGCACCUGAGCCUACAUCAUAAGAAAAUGUAGCCCACAUACGGAUAUGUGGAUCAGCACUUUGGGAAUGUACUGAGUAUAUGGGGUGUAUGCAAUUAAGUAAACAACAUCGUAAGUUUAUAUAAAAUCAUGCAUGCGGAUCAUAAUGACUCACAAAGCUGGAAUAAAGCUGAAAUAUAAGAAUUUUAAAUCAUGAAUAAUGAACAUAUAUCAUAAAUCUCGUGAGUCAUCAUACUUAGCUCAAAAUAUAAACUUCUUCUUUUCUUCUCAAAACUCAAAGGUUAAGGAAAUCCGUAAACAAUACUUUCAAAUCUCAUACUUUCAACUUAAUUCAGAGUAAGGGACAACUUCGGGAGUUUCUUUUAACCGACAUAAAAAAUAUGAGCUUAUCAUGGAGUCCAACGUUUUGUCCUCCUAAGGAAGAAACCCCACAUUGGGAAGGAGCGUCAUACUCUUGCCAGGGAGUAUAACCUCAACUCAGUGAUCACCAACUCGGCCUUAGGCCCACAAAUCUCAAUCCUACGGUGGCACGUAGUUUUAGGAAAGUAGGGUACGCUCACCCACACCUCCCGCUCGAUGCUAAAUACUACUCCCGUACUCAAGUUUAGACUCAUUUAGGAAAUCCACCUCAAAAUAAUCUCAAGCGUCUAUAAUGAAGACCAAAUCAUAUUUCUCAUAAUUGAAUCAAAAUAAAUUGUGGAUUCCUAUUUUCAACUCAAAAUCACAAUAUCAUUCUUGACUCAAAUCUUCUCAAAAUCAUAUCUUUAUCAAAAUCAAACCCAUUCUUGACAUAAAUACAAUAGUUCAAUUUUUUUUUCCAAGAACAUAGACUUAAAAAUCUCAACACCAAAUCUUUAGACUCAAAUUCAAGAUUCAAAACUCAUAACAAUUCGCAAUAUCAACUCAACCCACUAUUAUUCUUGAAAUCAUUCAACAAUACAAAUUCAUAAGUAAAGGAUAUAACUCAUGAUAUAAACUUUUAAUUCAAGACAUAAUAAAUACAAGGUCAUGAAAAUCACAACUUAAAUAACUCAUAAUCCCAUAAUCUCAUAAAUAGUAUCUUGGUAUAAAUAUAUUCAACUUUAAUUUCAUAAAUACCAUAUAAAAUCAAAAACAUAUCUUGUAAUAAAAAUUAAGUUUUGGGCACAAGAACGGAAGGAUUAUUCUUGUUCAACACCCACAUACCUCAAAUUUAUGAGUAUUAAUGAACUUUUGAAUAGGAAACUCUAUUUGCAAAAUUGAUAGGCGCUCCUUGUAGCUCUUGUAAUGGGGAUCCCAACUCUUAAAUUAUUUUUGAAUUUCUACGGUUGAAUUUUGAGGGAUCUUGAUUUUUGUUUUGGGGCUAAGGGAAGUUGUUCUUGUGAAUUUGGAGAAUAAGGAUCAGAUUUUGGUCUAAAUGACCAUUAAUUCCGUGUUUAUGGAUAUAUAUAUAUAUAGGGGUAGGAAAGACUAAAAUACCCCUAAGGAAACAAACAAAGUCACAGCUGUCCCUCAGUUGACAGGUUUGAUAUGCUGGCGUAAAUUGGCCAUAUCUUUUUACUCAGAUGUUCAAAUUGGAUGAAACCAAUUGAAUUGGAAAGAAGACUCAAAGAGAUUUCAUUUGAUAUCUAGCAGCUCUCCCAGUUUAUUAUAUACAAAAAGUUAUGAUUAUUACAAGUUGACACUGAAAUGCUGAAAACUGGGCACCUGACCAGCACCUUUUGCCACUGGUUUGACAUACCAAACGUGCCCUUACGCUACUCCAAAAAUUCUGAAUCUCACCCAAGAUAUACUAUGACCUUUCCCCGAAGUUAAGGACUCAAAAAUAAACUAAGUUUUGGAAAUGCUUAGUAGAAUUUCAAGGCAUAAGAUUUCCUUCAACUCACUCAGAAGGCUUAAACGUCGUGAAAAUUUUACGGAGUAUUACAAUAUCUCCCCCUUGGGAACAUUCGUCCUCAAAUGUCUCUCAGCAGGCUAAGAAUAUAGAGAAACCGAGAAUACGCAACUCAGAGAACUUACUUAAUUGGCUCAACUUCACUCUAAACUCAUGAAUACUUCAAAGAAUACAUGAACUCUUGAUGAGAAUGAAUAAACAGCUGAAUCAUGAAUAUGAAAGGACUGAAUUAUGAAAGAGUAGUACCUUCAGCUUGCUUGGAGAAGAGGUGCGGGUAUUUGGUUCACAUGUCUGCUUUUGCUUCCCAAGUAUCUCCCUCAACUGACUGACUACGCCAUAAAACUUUGACCAAGGGAACUUCUUUGUUCCUUAGUUGACGGAUCUGAUAGUCUAGAAUCUCAAAUGGAACCUCAUCAUACGAAAUAUUGUCAUGGACAUUAGGAUUCUCCUAAGGAUCUACAACAACAGCAUCACUAAUACACUUCCUAAGCAUAGAUACAUGGAAGAACGGAUGGAUAGCUAAAAAUUCUGCAGGUAGCUCAAUCUCAUAGGCUACUUUCCCAACACGACUCAAAACUCUAUAAGGACUAAUAUACCGGGGACUAAGCUUCCCCUUCUUCCCAAACCUCUUCACUCCCUUCAUUGGUGAAAUCUUCAGAUACACUAAGUCACUAAUCUCGAACUCAAGGUCUCUUCUUCUCACAUCUGCAUAAGACUUCUGGCGACUCUGAGCCUCCUUUAAUUUUUCUCUAACCAAUCUUACCUUCUCCAUGGCUUUGAAUACUACAUCAUGUCCAGUCACAACAGCUUCACCCACCUCGAACCAACCUAUGGGUGAUCUACAUCUUUUACCAUAUAAAGCCUCAAAUAGUGCCAUCUGAUUGCUAGCAUGGAAACUAUUGUUAUAAGCAAACUCAAUCAAAGGCAAAUGUUCAUCCCAACUACCUUUGAAAUCAAGUGCACAAGCACUCAACGUGUCCUCCAAAGUUUGAAUAGUCCUCUCAGCCUAGCCGUCAUUUUGUGGAUGAAAUGCAGAACUCAAAUGAACUUGGGUACCAAGACCCUUCUGAAAAGAUCUCUAAAACUGUGAAGUGAACUCAGUACCCUUAUCUGAAAUGAUGGACAAGGGAACUCCAUGCAAUCUGACUAACUCACGAAUAUACAAUCUAGCAUAAUCCUUAGCUGUAUAAGAUGUAUGCACAGGUAUAAAAUGCGCUGACUUAGUCAAUCGAUCUACAACAACCCAAAUAGAAUCAUGAUGAUGACGCGAAGGAGGUAAACCAGUCACAAAAUCCAUAUUCACCCCUUCCCAUUUCCAAGUAGGAAUGCUAAACUCUUUUAUUUUACCACUAGGUCUUUGGUGCUCUACCUUAACCUUUUGGCAAGUCGCACACUUUGCUACAAAUGCUGCUAUAUCCUUCUUUAUACCCCUUCACCAAUAGAUUUCCCGCAAGUCGCGGUACAUCUUGGUAGCACCUGGAUGAAUAGAAUAUCGCGUGUCAUGCGCUUCAGCCAUAACUCUCUGCCUCAAAUCAUCAACAUCAGGUACACAUAACCUACCCUGCAAUCUCAACACCCCAUCUCCCCCUUGGUAGAAAACCUCAAUCUUUUGGUCCUUGACUGACUCCUUCAAUCUGACCAAACUAGUAUCUAAGUCUUGCUUUUUCUUCACCUCCGAGACUAAAGAGGACUCGGAACUACUCUGUAGUAACAUACUCCCUUCAGCGGAAUCAAGCAACCUAACACCCAAUCUAGCCAAACGAUGCACAUCAUGAGCUAAUUCUUUCUUAUCAUUCUCCACAUGAGAUACACUACCUAUAGACAACCUGCUAAGAGCAUCUGCUACAACAUUUACCUUACCCGGGUGAUACAACACACUCAUAUCAUAGUCUUUUAACAAUUCUAACCAUCUUCUCUACCUAAGGUUCAACUCCAUCUGAGUAAACACAUAUUGCAAGAUUUUGUGAUCAGUAAACAUAUCAACAUGAGCACCAUACAAAUAAUGUCUCCAGAUUUUCAAAGUAAAAACAACAACAGCUAAUUCAAGAUCAUGGGUAGGUAACUCUUUUCAUGAGGUUUCAACUGUCUAGAGGCAUAGGCUAUAACUUUACCUCGCUGCGUCAACACAAAAGCCAAACCAACUCUAGAGGCAUGACAAUACACAACAAAACCAUCAGUACCAUCAGGCAAAGCUAACACGAGAGCUGAAGUGAGUCGAGUCUUUAACUCCUGAAAAUUCUUCUCACAAGUAUCUGUCCACUGGAACUUAACUUUCUUUUGGGUCAACCGGGUCAUAGGAGAUGCAAUAGAAGAGAAAACUUCGACAAAACGACGGUAAUAACCAGCUAGACCCAAAAACUCCUAAUGUCAGAUGGGGAGGUAGUUCUAGGCCAAUUCUUUAAAGCUUCUGUCUUUUGGGGGUCAACUCGAAUGCCUUCGUCAGAAACAAUAUGACCCAAAAAAGCAAUCGACCUUAACCAAAACUCAUAUUUGCUAAAUUUAGCGAAUAACUGAUGAUCUUUAAGGGUUUGUAGGACAAUUCUAAGAUGAUUGGCAUGAUCAUUCUCACUUCGGGAAUACACAAGAAUAUCGUCUAUGAAUAUAAUGACAAAUAUAUCAAGGUACUAUUUGAACACUCGAUUCAUGAGGUCCAUAAAGGCUGUGGGAGCAUUGGUUAACCCAAAGGACAUGACAAGAAACUCAAAGUAACCAUAACAGGUUCGGAAGGCUAUCUUUGGAAUAUCACAUUCUCUCACUUUAAGUUGAUGAUAGCCGGAUCUGAGGUCUAUCUUUGAGAAAUAACUCGCACCCUAUGACUGGUCAAACAAAUCAUCAAUUCUAGGAAGAGGAUAUUUGUUCGUGAUGGUGACCUUAUUAAGCUGACGAAAGUCGAUAUAUAUACGCAAAGAACCAUCUUUCUUUCGCACGAAUAGAACAGGUGCACCCCAAGGAGAAAUACUGGGCCUUAUAAAACCUUUAUCUAAAAGAUCUUUAAGUUGUUCUUUCAACUCCUUAAGUUCUGCAGGAGCCAUACGAUAUGGAGGAAUAGAAAUAGGUUUUAUAUCGGUAAAAAGGUCAAUCCCUAACUCUAUCUCUCUAUCGGGAGGCAACCCUAGAAGAUCUUUCGAAAAGACAUCAGGAAACUCAUUAACUAUGCUAACUGACUGAAGUGUCUGAGCUUCGAACUCAGUGUCUUUAACUCUAACCAGGUGAUAGAUACAACCUUUGGAUAUCAAUUUUCUGGCUUUGAGAUAGGAGAUAAAAUGACUCUUAGGAGACAUAGAAUUUCUGGACCACUCGAAAACUGGCUCAUCUGGAAAUUGAAACUUGACUACGCAGGUACGAUAGUCAAUAGAUGUGUAACAAGAAUGAAGCCAAUCCAUACCCAGAAUAACAUCAAAAUCCACCAUGUCCAACUCUAUCAAAUCAGCAAGUAUGACUGUGUGAAGAACAGUAACAGGACACUUUUUAUACACUUGUCUAGCAACAACAGACUCCCCUACUGAAGUGGAAACAAGGAAAGGCUUAGAAAUCUUUUCAGGACUCACUUCAAAUUUGACAACAACCAAUGGUGUCACAUAGGAAAAACUUGACCCAGGGUCCAGCAAUACAUAAACAUCAAAGUGGAAAACACAAAGCAUACCAGUAACAACAUCUAGAGAAUCCUCCUGCUCCUGGCGGGAUGGUAGAGCAUAAAAUCUGUUCUGGCGCUAACCGCCACCAGUGCUAGAAGAAGCGCCCUGAGGAGGAGCUGGACGAGCUACUGGAGCUGGUGCACUAGUAUCCUAAGUCUGAGGUCGAGCAUCACGAUUCCCCUGCCUAGCAUACGAGCAAUCUCAAAGUCUGUGGCCUAUCUUGCCACAACCAAAACAACCCCUCUGAUCAGCAAAGCACUCACAAGG